rnacentral:lncRNA from 1 species
AGUCAACCUCUUGAGAGUUAGGACCACUGAGUCGUAGCUUAGUUGAAUAUGUUGAAGAAGUUCAAACUACCUUUCCAUACAUUGAGGGUUAUAGUAUUCUACAGAGACAUUGUUGUUGCUACUUGGUGGCUUUAAGCCACAAAAAAGGUCUCUUGUUGUCAAGAUCUUAGAUCAAUAGACGUUAACAUCACUUGGGGCUAGGUUUGACAAACUAUCAGAUAUUAUAUAAAAAAUCCAAGCUGAAUCACAUUCUUUUUCUAAGAUUGGGUUCAAGUCGCCUAAAAUACAAGUUAGACAAAAUAAUUGUUAUGAAACUUCAAAGGCACAUGAGGCAUCACCUGGAUAAUGGAUCAAUUGUUCCAAAAUUGAAGGAACCAAAUGGGUUAACUCAUGAUUUUUAUGUCAUCUUUUUCGAUUAGCUAGUCCAAAAUAGUGAACAGGGAGUAAUAAAUUGAAUAAUGAAAAAGAUCCCAAAGAUAUAUGUCUCUUUGAAUUUAAAAGAGCCACACAUAGUCGCAACUCAUGAAUGAAAGCCACUGAAUAAGUACAUUCUAAAAGCUUGUUCUACCAAUACAACAAGAAUACAUUGUGCUUUGCAUCAAUGAAAAGGCCAAAAGUUUUAGCAUUCUAUUUUUUUUUUUGAUUAAUCGGAGUUACCAUUUGAAAAAU